UAAAAUAUGCUUUAUGCAAAAGGUUUUUUGUAAGGUAUUUUUACAAUGCUCAUCAUUUACUACGUGUGGAGGAAUAGUGGAGUAGAAACCAGAGUAACGGGUGAUGCUGGUGGUAGAAGGUCUCUGCACGACGGGGGAAAGAAUGUCACUGACGCCAAACGCCGAAAAUUAAAAGGUCUGUACACUAAUGCGAGGAGCCUAGGUAACAAGAUGGAGGAACUGGAGUUACUGGUGCAGGAAGUGAAACCGGAUAUUAUAGGGAUAACCGAAACCUGGUGGAAUAGUACUCAUGACUGGAGCACGGUUAUUGAAGGCUAUGUGCUGUUUAGAAAAGACAGGAAGAAAGGCAAAGGUGGUGGAGUAGCCUUGUACAUCAAUGAUGAAAUUAACUGUAGCGAAAUAAGAAGCGAUGGAAUGGAUAAGACAGAGUCUGUCUGGGCAAAAAUCACACUGGGUAAAAAAGCAACUAGAGCUUCCCCUGAGAUAGUGCUUGGGGUGUGCUAUAGACCGCCGGGAUCUGAUUGGGAUAUGGAUAGAGACCUCUUUAAUGUCUUUAAUGAAGUAAACACAAAGGGGAAAUGUGUGAUUAUGGGGGACUUCAACUUCCCGGAUAUAGACUGGAGGACGAGUACUUGCAAGAAUAAUAGGGGUCAGAUUUUUCUGGAUGUGAUAGCGGAUGGAUUUCUUCAUCAAGUAGUUGAAGUACCUACGAGAGGAGAUGCCAUUUUAGAUUUGGUGUUGGUGAGCAGUGAGGACCUCGUAGAAGAAAUGGUGGUAGGGGACAACCUUGGUUCGAGUGAUCAUGAGCUGAUUCAGUUCAAACUAGAUGGAAGGAUAAACAAAUGUAGAUCUGGGAUUAGGGUUUUUGACUUCUCGAGGGCUAAUUUUAAAGAGUUAAGGAAAUUAGUUAGGGAAGUGGAUUGGACGGAGGAAUUAGUGGAUUUAAAUGCGGAGGAGGCCUGGAAUUACUUUAAGUCGCAGCUGCGGAGACUGUCGGAAGCCUGCAUCCCGAGAAAGGGGAAAAAAACCAUGGGCAGGAGUUGUAGGCCAAACUGGAUGAGCAAGCAACUCAGAGAGGGGAUUAGACAAAAGCAGAAAGCUUACAGGGAGUGGAAGAAAGGCAGGAUCAGUAAGGAAAGCUACCUUGGUGAGGUCAGAACAUGUAGGGAUAAAGUGAGGAAGGCUAAAAGCCGCAUUGAACUGGACCUUGCAAAGGGAAUCAAAACCAAUAGUAAAAGGUUCUACAGCCACAUAAAUAAGAAGAAAACAAAGAAAGAAGAAGUGGGGCCGCUAUACACUGAGGAUGGAAUGGAGGUUAAGGAUAACCUAGGCAUGGCCCAACAUCUAAACAAGUACUUUGCUUCAGUUUUUAAUAAGACUAGUGAGGAACCUUGCGAUGAUGGAGGGAUGAUAAACGGGAAUGUGGAUAUGGAAGUGGAUAUUACCGCAACUGAGGUAGAGGCCGUACUUGAACAGCUCGAUGGGACGAAGUCGGAGGGCCCGGACAAUCUCCAUCCGAGGAUAUUAAAGGAACUGGCGCGUGAAAUUGCGAGCCCGUUAGCGAGAAUUUUUAAGCAAUCGAUAAACUCGGGGGUUGUGCCGUAUGACUGGAGGAUUGCUAAUGUAGUUCCUAUUUUUAAGAAAGGGAAUAAAAGUGAUCCGGGUAAUUAUAGGCCUGUUAGCUUGACGUCUGUAGUAUGUAAGGUCUUGGAAAAAAUUUUAAGGGAGAAAGUAGUUAAGGACAUAGAGGUCAAUGGUAAUUGGGACGAAUUGCAACACGGAUUUACUAAAGGUAGAUCGUGU
rnacentral:lncRNA from 1 species